GAUGAACGCUGGCGGCGUGCCUAAUACAUGCAAGUCGAACGCAGUGGGGACGGGUGAGUAACACGUGGGUAACCUCCCAUCAGAGGGGAUAACACUUGGAAACAGGUGCUAAACCGAUACUGAUGGAUGGACCCGCGGUGCAUUGGCUAGUUGGUGAGGUAAAGGCUCACCUAGGCGACGAUGCAUAGCCGAUCGGAGAGGGUGAUCGGCCACACGUGGACUGAGACACGGCCCAGACUCCUACGGGAGUCAGCAGUGGGGAAUUUUCGGCAAUGGACGAAAUUCUGACCGAGCAACGCCGCGUGAGUGAAGAAGGUUUUCGGGUCGUAAAACUCUGUUGUUAGAGAGGCGUUCUCUAACCAGAAAGCCCCGGCUAACUGCGUGCCAGCAGCCGCGGUAAUUC
rnacentral:rRNA from 1 species